CAUAGAGGGUGAGAAUCCCGUAUUUGACCAUUAUUUUCAGCUGUGUGAUACACUUUCAAAGAGUCGGAUUGUUUGGGAAUGCAGUCCAAAAUGGGUGGUAAAUUUCAUCUAAAGCUAAAUAUUGGCGAGAGACCGAUAGCGAACAAGUACCGUGAGGGAAAGAUGAAAAGAACUUUGAAAAGAGAGUUAAACAGUACGUGAAAUUGUCAAAAGGGAAGCGUUUGACACCAGUGUUGUUUUUCCGAAAAUCAAUUAAGAAGGGCUUGAUUUUGUGUUGUAUUGACCUUAUCAGCUUUCUUCACUCUUUUUCGAGUCUUUCUUAAUGCACUUUUCGGUUAACAAGUCAACAUCAAUUUCUUUUGUUGUAAAAGGGUAUUUGGAAGGUGGCUUUCUUUUCGGAGAAAGUGUUUAUAGCCUUAUACCUCUACAAUCGGAGAGACUGAGGUCUGCAGCGUAGAUCCUUCGGGGUUAGAUACAUUUGUGCUAAGUUAUAGCUUUUCAUAGACAACUUGUUGACUAUGUUUAGUCAUGUAGCUUACUCGCUUAUGCUAUUUUACCUACGCUUAGGAUGUUGAA
rnacentral:rRNA from 1 species